rnacentral:miRNA from 1 species
UUGCCCCAAAAGUUCGUUCGGGUUUUUCUGUAACAGCUUAGGGAAAAUCCGAGGGAACUUUUUGGCCAGC